rnacentral:rRNA from 1 species
GACGAACGCUGGCGGCGUGCUUAACACAUGCAAGUCGAACGGAAAGGCCUGCUUUCCCUUGUGGAUUGCGGGUGCUCGAGUGGCGAACGGGUGAGUAACACGUGAGUGAUCUGCCCCCAACUUGGGUAUAAGCCUGGGAAACUGGGUCUAAUUCCCGAUAGGACUGCAGGGUGGUGCCUGUGGUGGAAAACGAUUUUCUAGUGGUUGGGGAUGAGCUCGCGGCCUAUCAGCUUGUUGGUGGGGUAAUGGCCUACCAAGGCGGCGACGGGUAGCCGGCCUGAGAGGGUGGACGGCCACAUUGGGACUGAGAUACGGCCCAGACUCCUACGGGAGGCAGCAGUGGGGAAUAUUGCACAAUGGGCGGUAGCCUGAUGCAGCGACGCCGCGUGGGGGAUGACGGCCUUCGGGUUGUAAACUCCUUUCGACCGCGAGGAAGCCACCUGGUUGGAAGGGUGGUGACGGUAGUGGUAGAAGAAGCACCGGCUAACUACGUG